ensembl:lncRNA
CUCAGCCUAAUCCCAAUGAUUACCCAAUGGGACUGUAAAGUGUAAAUGAAGCAGUCAUUGCCUGGUGACUGACUACUUGAGCUCCAGCACACGCCGCCUUAUCGCUGCCACUUUCCGCAGCUCUCUAAGAUUCACUUAUUGUUAAGACUUUUAACAUUCACUUGGAAUCGCCGCGUUGUGACAAACUGAGAUCACAGCUCUUCCAGCUCCUGCACUGGAAGGAAAGCACCUCAAAUCCAGUGCCAUUUUGGGAUGACAGAGUAAUCAAGCGAAAAUACAAACACGACGUCAGCCAUGCAGGUUCCUUCCGUGGCGGGGUCUGCAGGACUGCCACCAGCUUUCUCCUGAAACACAACGCUGCUGGGCUGAAGGACUUCUAGGCUGAGUUCCCCGUGCCUUUAGCAGUGGAGUGCUGUAAAGGAGGACCAAAACCUCAAAGGAAAUGAAAGUCACAGCUUUUUGGGAAAACGACUUUGAAAUCGGACGCAGGAAUUAAGUGACUUCAAUCCCAAACACUCAGUAGAAUUCAAAGCUUGAUUGCAGGCUUGUUUGUUUGUAUCUGGUCUUUCUGAUGUGCUGAGAAAAUGCGGUGCUGCUGAGAAAAGUUCCGUAUGGCAGGGUGUUCUCAGAACGAGCUCCUGGCGCUAUCUUGUUUCUUCUGUCCAACGACAGCACUGUGUUACCUUGCUUGGAUCUGUCUUUUCCUUCUUUCAGGUCACGGGCUCCUUGGAAGCACUGCCCCUGGGGUGGUCUGAGCCACCAAGAAGGGAAGCUUUCUGCUGAGGGGUAGCAGCCCGUGAUCCUGAUCUCCUCAGGCUGUCCAGUGUGUGACAACCUGCCUCUGGAAAAGCUUCCUCUCACUCUUUCUUUCCAUUCCUCUCUCCCUGAAGGGCGCCGACUGUGUGCUCUGCUUGAAGCCCCAUGGGGCAGAUGCCCUGAGCAGCCUCGCUCCUUUGAGGAAGGUGUGAUGGAAUGGGCUUCUGGCCGGGGCUGUCCAGUCUGUAGGCCACCUUUCCCUGCCACGUGCAGCUCCAGCCACGGGUAUGAGGAGGCAGAGAAGCCAGCCCCAGCCUCCCCAGGAGAGGGGAGGCCGCAGUCAGAUCAUUGCAAACAGGACUUCAUUAAUUAUAAAUGGACAAGUUCCCCUGAGCUGCUGUAGCUCUGCAUGAGUCACAUUCUAACUGAGUUUUCUCUCUGUUUUCUUUUUCUUCUUCUUCUUCUUUCUCUUGAAGAGUUGUUGAAGGGUUGAAAUACUGUGAUGGAUAAAUAAGGAGCCAGCUGUGCUCUGCAGUCAGCCCCACCAGAGCCUUUCUGCAGCAGUAGCCCGCAGCAGUCUCCUCUCUGCCUCACUCUUCACUCCCAUCCCCCGGGUUCUGCCAUCUGUUCUCGCUCUCCAGGUUUCUUCUCCCUCACAGUGGCAUAUUUUGCUCUCAUGCUGUAAGUUCCUUUCCAGCAUGUGGUCUCAGCCCUCAGUGGUGCAUGGAUGUAUGUUCAUACAACAGCAUGACCAAAGGGCUCAGUUGUAGGACACCCACUUGGUUCGGCUGUGCCUCCCUCUUUCAUCUUGGAGAUAGCCCUGCUUAGACAAAAGGAGAAGGAGCAACAAACCCAGCAAACCUUGGCUUUCUGUUAGGAACUGUCAGACAGUUUUUGUUCUGAUUUCUGACAAUAUGCUGGCCUUCUCCUCACAAGGGAAGGUUGGGAUGUGUCCUGGGGCUCUGAGGGAUGGACACAUCAAGAGUGGAUGGGGUGGCUGGAGGGCCAGCAUGAGUGUAUGGACAGAGCUGUCCCCAAAACCUGCCUUGCAGCUUGUCACUCCUUUGGGAACAUCUCCUUCCCUGGGCAUCCUGUCAGCAUGAGUGCUGAACUCCGUGUCUGUCAUGGCACAGCCAAGGUUUGGAGUGGUGUUUCUGGAGGCUUUGCUGGCUAUGCUUUCAAGCCCAGAAACUGCUUUUCUUGCUUCCUCAAUGUGCUUGGUUUCAGAGGUGCCCUCCAGAGAUGCUUGAAUUGCUGCCUGGAAGCUGUUUCUCCAUCCAGCUCCCCAGGGCUACUGUGCCCUUGCUCCUUGAGGUGGUUCUUUUCAGUGACUUGCACCUCCAAAAGACUGGCUGUGCACCCUGAUUUGUGAACUUGGGUGACUGGUUGGCCUCCUGCAUCUCAGCCCUCAGCAGGGGGGAAUGCUCCUUCUUAACCCAUGAACUUCAGGCAGCUCCCGAAUCCAUGGAAUGUGUCCCAUCUGCAGCGCGUUAGGGGUCCACUCGCAGCAGAGGAAGAAGCACAUGUGGGUUGUGAACCCUUCAGAAGAGGAAGAAAACAAGCUAAUUAAUCUAAAGGAUGUGGUGCCAGGAGCUACAUCUGUGGGCCAACUGGCCCUGGAAGCGUGGUUCCCAGGUGCUACUCAUCCAAGGGGGUAUUGCAGAGGUGAUGGGGGCAUGAAGGGUGGAAGAAUGAGGGUGCAAGGGGUCCGGGCACAGGGGAACCCCUGCUUCCUAUUCUUUGAGGGGACUGAAGGAGGACUGACCCUCAGCCAUCCCUCCAGGAUACAGACCACCUUUUCCCACUCAGCCUCUUUCACCAGGCACUGUGACUUUGAUUCUCAGCUGCCCAAGCACUCCUGUUUCUCCAUCAUAAUGGUGGUGGGAAGGACGGGCCACGUUGGCAGCACGGUGCACCCUUGCUCCUCUUCUCUUCAGGUCCCAGUGAGCACCUUCCUUUCCACCCUAGCCUCAAGGGCUGCCUCGUUCCCCCUGGUAUGCUGCUGGCCAUGGAAAGUGUGAACUUGGGGAGGUGCCACAACUCCAUCUCACCUUGGCCUCUCCUUUGCUGCUCUUUCAGCCACCCCAGAGCUGGUGCAGGGAAUUACAAGGAGGUGGACGUGGUGCUUCUGCUUUGCUCACCUGCAGCUCGCCCUCCUGGACCACGCUCUGUGCUGUUGAACUCCACUCACCACCCUCCCCUGCUGCUAAUCUCUCUUCUCAGGCGUGGGUUUGAUCUCGGCGGCGAGCCGCCCGCCCGGCCGCUCUCUGUCUGCUCCUUCUCAGUGCAUUUAAAGCAGCCACUGGGAGCCAACCUUCCACCCCCGUGUGCCCACACGGAAGAAGAUAGGAGGAUUUGACGUCUAUUGAUGGAUGUGACUCCUGGAAGGCGUCUCUUAGCCGAAGGACCCGGAGCUUUCAGGUGAGUCCUUUUCUACAAGUAAACGCGUAAAUCUCCGAGCUGGGUUUGGGGCUGUAUGAGAGCGCUGAAAGCAGACUGCGACGGCAGUAAGGCUCUUCACACCGGCGGAUGCCACCAGGGCAGCAGGCAGGCUGAGGAGACGCUGCGGCUCCCGAG